rnacentral:rRNA from 1 species
CACGUAGGGGACGAGCGUUGUCCGGGUUCAUUGGGCGUAAAGCGCGCGUAGGCGGCUCGGAAAGUCGGGCGUGAAAUGCCGGGGCUCAACCCCCGGGGACUGCGUCCGAUACUUCCGAGCUGGAGGUAGGUAGGGGAGAUCGGAAUUCUGGUGUAGCGGUGAAAUGCGCAGAUAUCUGGAGGAAUACCGGUGGCGAAGGCGGCGAGUCCUGGGACCGGCAAUUGGACGCUGACUGAGCGAAAGCUAGGGGAGCAAACGGG